rnacentral:rRNA from 1 species
CAGCCGCCACGGUAAAACGUAGGUGGCAAGCGUUGUCCGGAAUUAUUGGGCGUAGAGCGCGCGCAGGAGGUUUAAUAAGUCUGAUGUGAAAGCCCACGGCUCAACCGUGGAGGGUCAUUGGAAACUGUUAAACUUGAGUGCAGGAGAGAAAAGUGGAAUUCCUAGUGUAGCGGUGAAAUGCGUAGAGAUUAGGAGGAACACCAGUGGCGAAGGCGGCUUUUUGGCCUGUAACUGACACUGAGGCGCGAAAGCGUGGGGAGCAAACAGGAUUAGAUACCCCGGUAGUCCCUGUCUCUUAUAC